GACAGAGGGGGCAAGCGUUGCUCGGAAUUACUGGGCGUAAAGGGCGCGUAGGCGGGAUGGCAAGUCGGUCGUGAAAUCCCUCGGCUCAACUGAGGAUCGUCGAUCGAUACUGCCGUUCUUGAGGAUUGCAGAGGAGACUGGAAUUCCCGGUGUAGCGGUGAAAUGUGUAGAGAUCGGGAGGAACACCGGUGGCGAAGGCGGGUCUCUGGGCAAUUCCUGACGCUGAGGAGCGAAAGCGUGGGGAGCGAACAGG
rnacentral:rRNA from 1 species